GACGAAUUAUGGCUCUGAAGGCGAAGACACCUUGCUGCUGGAGGACACUGAGUGGACACUUUACCUCGCAUUUUCAACAGAGAUUACAUGAAACUGAACUGUGAGCUGCAAGCACUUCUUUGGCCGCGGACCUGACACCAAUCAGCCCUUGUUACCACCUGCACUUAAGCCUGCCUGACUCCGGAAAUCCUCGCCAGUGUAUUGAAGUUCUGGAAGGUGUUCCCUCCGUGUUCCUCGCCAAGUGGAUUUCUGCCACCACCCCACCAAGCCAGCCCCGUGUCCUCGUCACCCCCUGCCACACGUUCUCUGCCUCAACAACCCGCCAGCACAUUCCAAGGACCCUCUCCCUUCCCCUUUUUUCAAUAAA